UUGUAAUAACAUAUUAUAUAGCUGUAUUUUAUUUUAAUAGUUGAGGUGUGUAACGAAAAUACAUAAUUAAUGUUUAUUUCUAUUUUGAUUUCUUUGAUAAAGGUGUUAUAUCUUAUAAUGAUUUAAAGUGAAUAAAUAAAAGUACAUAAAAAUCAAAUUGUGUUAAAAAACAUAAGCACAAAAGAAAGGGAUAUAACUUGUACACAAAAUAAGAGACAGCAAAAU
rnacentral:lncRNA from 1 species